rnacentral:rRNA from 1 species
CAGUAGCCGCGGUAAUACGGAGGGUGCAAGCGUUAAUCGGAAUUACUGGGCGUAAAGCGCACGCAGGCGGUCUGUCAAGUCAGAUGUGAAAUCCCCGGGCUUAACCUGGGAACUGCAUUUGUGACUGUAUAGCUAGAGUACGGCAGAGGGGGAUGGAAUUCCGCGUGUAGCAGUGAAAUGCGUAGAUAUGCGGAGGAACACCGAUGGCGAAGGCAAUCCCCUGGGCCUGUACUGACGCUCAUGCACGAAAGCGUGGGGAGCAAACAGGAUUAGAUACCCGGGUAGUCCCUGUCUCUUAUAA